GACUCCUGCCGUCACGCCCGGGGCUCCGCGUAGCAGAGAUCGGGAGACGCGUCUGUGCCUCCGGGGAAGCCGACCCAUCUCCCCUCCGCCUCUUUGGCUGCAGUUGCACCUCCGGCCAGAGGGCAGGGCUUCUUACGCCUCAUGGUGACAGGUGCAAAUCAUGACACAGAAGGGCAGUAUGAAGCCUGUGAAGAAAAAGAAAACCGAAGAACCUGAAUUGGAGCCCCUGUGCUGCUGCGAGUACAUAGAUCGGAAUGGGGAAAAGAACCACGUGGCUACUUGUUUGUGUGAUUGUCAAGAUCUGGAUGAAGGGUGUGAUCGUCCCUCCUCUUUGUGCUUUUUCUGAAUAGAUGGAUUACAUGUAAAUCUUUACAGCCAGAGACUUGUGAAAGAAUCAUGGAUACAAUUUCUGAUCGCCUCCGAAUUCCUUGGCUUAGGGGAGCCAAAAAAGUGAACAUCAGCAUCAUCCCUCCGCUUGUCCUGCUGCCUGUCUUCCUUCAUGUGGCUUCCUGGCAUUUCCUCCUGGGGGUGGUGGUUUUGACCUCCCUUCCUGUGCUGGCACUGUGGUACUACUACCUCACUCACAGAAGGAAAGAACAGACCCUGUUUUUCCUGAGCCUUGGACUGUUCUCU
rnacentral:lncRNA from 1 species